AGAGUGGUGCCCCCAGGGAGAGUGAGGCCCUACACGGCUGCCUAUUCUGCGUAUGCCUAAGGACGGCCCUGCCCAUAAUACCUUAGCAAUUGAGCUUCCUUUUAACACUCAAACAUAUAAUAUCGCUUCGCACAUGUACCUCCAGACUUCUUCUACUUGUCCAGUUCUAUUCCGCCUCAACAAUCUACUAUUCAUUGAACAUUUUGAGACUUUGCACUUUUAGAGAGAGGCUUUUCCAGAAGAACUAUACAGAAGGCAUGGCAGUAUCAACCCUCCUCUCCCUCCAUCCAUCCAUCAUUAAAAAAAUGUGAUUUAAGUAACAAAAUCAAGCACUUGAAAGCUAGGAAGUCCCAGAUUCAUAGUUGCCUGUGCAACCAAUCUGUGCACUGAAAAUAAGGUGGGAAUCCUACAGAAAAAAUAGCAAGUAAAUAUGUCAUUAAAGAAUGUAUCGCAAUGCAGAUGCACAUCAAUAUAAGCCCCAAUUUAAGCAUUCCUAAAACAAUUGUUCCUAAAAAUUCUUUACUAGCAGUUACAAAAUGUAACUUCAUCAAAAGGAUACAUUUUAAAUUCCUUUUUUUAUUAUUAUUAAUUGUAGAAUAGUUUUAGGAUAAGCAGCAAUCAGCAAAAGACAAGAGGAGAAUAAAUUAGGGUUUUUUGGUUUUGUUGUUUUUGUUUUUACCACCAUUUGUUUUUACCACCAUUGUUUUUACCACCAUUAGGGUUACAGUAUUUUAUAUACUAAUUCUAAUUGCACAAAGGCCUAUUGAAUAAAACAUGACAAAUAUACAACUGUCCACGGACUGGUCAAAUUCUGACCCUGGUAUAAUAUGGUGAAAAGGGGCACAAAGAGGUUACUUCCACCCUCGGGCCACAAGUGCUCCAGAGAAAAUGAGGGAGGACUCUUCUUCCAGUACUGCCUGUCUUACAGUGCAGGAAGGGAUCUUAAAGCUAAUGAUCCCCCAUAUCAACUCCCUGACAUGUAAGUCCAUCACAGAAAUUCGAGAGACAAGGUGGUUAAGGUAAUAUCUUUUAUUGGACCAACUUCUGUUGGUGAUAGGUACAAGCUUAUGAGCCACACAGAGCUAUUCUUCAGGCUUGGGAAAAAUAGUCCAAGCAUCACAGCUAAAUGUAAGGUGGAACAGAUUGUUUAGUAUAAAUUAUUGUUUGUCUCCCCAAACUCCAUAGAGUGACAUCGUUCUUCGACUACGAGAAAGGGACCAAGAGACUUUCUCCAUUGGAUCAUAUGAACUGGAACCAUAAACUCCCUGAACAUUAAAUCUCACCAAAUGAAGGUCAAUCCAUCCUCAUCAUCAUAUCCACUCAUUAUACUCCACAUACAAACAUAGCCAUUUUAUGAACUUCAUACCCUCAUAUCUCAAUGUCUGUACUUUGACCCAUCAACCUGUUACCCCCAAUUGGGGAUAUUGCAAAUUAUGUAUUCCUUAUGCCACCCAAUCUUAAACCAAACAUUGCACCCUCAAUAAUCUGUAUGUUAUUCCCUGAUAACCAGAAACUUCUAUGCUUAAACUCUGUACCGUUCACUUUUUUAUCAUCUUAAUAAAUUAUUGUUCGUCUCCCCA